rnacentral:rRNA from 1 species
UGGGGAAUAUUGCACAAUGGGCGAAAGCCUGAUGCAGCAACGCCGCGUGAGUGAUGAAGGUCUUCGGAUUGUAAAGCUCUGUCUUUUGGGACGAUAAUGACGGUACCAAAGGAGGAAGCCACGGCUAACUACGUGCCAGCAGCCGCGGUAAUACGUAGGUGGCGAGCGUUGUCCGGAUUUACUGGGCGUAAAGGGUGCGUAGGCGGAUGUUUAAGUGAGAUGUGAAAUACCCGGGCUUAACUUGGGUGCUGCAUUUCAAACUGGAUAUCUAGAGUGCAGGAGAGGAGAAUGGAAUUCCUAGUGUAGCGGUGAAAUGCGUAGAGAUUAGGAAGAACACCAGUGGCGAAGGCGAUUCUCUGGACUGUAACUGACGCUGAGGCACGAAAGCGUGGGUAGCAAACAGGAUUAGAUACCCUGGUAGUCCACGCCGUAAACGAUGAGUACUAGGUGUAGGAGGUAUCGACCCCUUCUGUGCCGCAGUAAACACAUUAAGUACUCCGCCUGGAAAGUACGAUCGCAAGAUUAAAAC